GACGGAGGAUGCAAGUGUUAUCCGGAAUCACUGGGCGUAAAGCGUCUGUAGGUGGUUUAAUAAGUCAACUGUUAAAUCUUGAGGCUCAACCUCAAAAUCGCAGUCGAAACUAUUAGGCUAGAGUAUAGUAGGGGUAAAGGGAAUUUCCAGUGGAGCGGUGAAAUGCGUAGAGAUUGGAAAAGAACCACGAUGCGAAGGCACUUUACUGGGCUAUUACUAACACUCAGAGACGAAAGCUAGGGUAGCAAAUGG
rnacentral:rRNA from 1 species